AGUAUUAUGCACGGGCAGGCGUGGAUUAUGAGCUCCCUUACGAGAUGAUCCCAUCAAGUCUAACCGGGUAACAGGAUUGAGUCAGCCCGCCAUACAACUGAUGGCUGUUAUCUGAGGCAAAGUCAUUGUGUAAAGUUUAAUUGUGACUAUAAACGCUUAAACGUCUAAUUAAUCGGAAAACCAGUGGACUUCGGAAUCACUUGAUUA